CACCACAUUCUCUACACAUGCUGGACUCUUCCGAUACAAGAGACUCAACUUCGGAAUCAACUCAGCAGCCGAAGUGUUCCAGGACACCAUCCGUCAGGUUCUAACCAACAUCCCCAAUGUGCUCAACGUAAGCGAUGACAUAUUGGUGUAUGGAAAGACUGAGAAAGAGCAUGAUGAAGCUUUGAAGGCGACACUGGAAUGUCUACUUGCAAGUGGUCUCACAUUGAACGUCAAGAAAUGCAAAUUCUACCAACAGGAACUUACCUUUUUCGGGCAUGUGUUCUCAAGUAAAGGUGUACAACCAGACCCCACUAAGGUGUCUGCAGUAAUCGGUGCCUCACCACCUUCCAGCAGCACU
rnacentral:lncRNA from 1 species